GACCUUGUAGUUAACUGAAUUUUGGAUGUCAUAAUCUAUGUUGUAGAUGAGUUUUAAUUUUUAAUCAGUUAGGAGUAAAGUGAUGACACUUGGGAUGCUCUUAAUGGAUCAAACAUUAUAAUUACUGCCCGUUGAGUUUUUGGGUCUGCAAACCCCUCUAAAGCUUGAGAUAACUUUUAUGAAUCUUGUUUUCACAAAUAUUUUGAGUUUGAUUCUGAAUGCAUCUGAGUUUAUUGUAGCCACCUCAUUUUUGGCAAUCUAUGUGAUGAUAUUUACCUAUGUC
rnacentral:lncRNA from 1 species